AAUUCUGACCAGAGCCAGAGCCGGCAGCCCUUCGAGAACGUGGAGCAGCCACCUCUGCUCGCACUGCCGCAGGGCUACGGGCACUUUGCUUUCGGCAUCUUUGACAACAGCUUUGAGAUCCCCACCUUCCCUCCCGGGGCACAGGCGGACGACGGCAGGGACCCCGAGAGCCGGCGGGAGCGAGAACACCGUCCCGGCACCGCUAUGGCGCCCGCCAGCCCCGCCCGCCUCACUGCUCGGCGGGCCACCGGCCGGCACGAAGGCAUCCCCACGCUGGAAGGGAUCAUCCAGCAGCUGGUGAAAAGCAUCAUCACCCCGGCCACCAUCCCCAGCCUGGGCCUGGGCCCCUGGGGCGUCCUGCACUCGAACCCAAUGGACUACGCCUGGGGGGCCAAUGGGCUGGAUGCCAUUAUCACACAGCUCCUCAAUCAGUUUGAGAGCACGCCCCCCGCCCCCGGCCGACAAGGAGAGGAUCCAGGCCCUGCCCACCGUGCCCGUCACGCAGGAGCACGUAGGCUCCGGGCUCGAGUGCCCGAGUGCCCCGUGUGCAAGGACGACUAUGUGCUGGGGGAGUGCGUGCGGCAGCUGCCCUGCAACCAUCUCUUCCACGACGGCUGCAUCGUGCCCUGGCUGUAGCAGCACGACAGCUGCCCCUUGUGCCGCAAAAGCCUCACAGGACAGAACACGGCCACGAACCCCCCCCGCCCCCGGGCCUGAGCGGGGUGGGCUUCUCCUCUUCGUCGUCCUCCUCCUCGUCCAGCUCGUCCAGCAAUGAGCACGCCAGCGGCACCUCCUGA